GGUGCCGUGCCUGUCAGCCUUGGCUCCAGCAGUGUGUGGGGCGGCCAUCCCUUCCCUGUCUUUCCAACACCGAUGCGGUGUCUCAGGCUGUUUCCGAAUGUGGAUUUCUAACUUGUCCUGAAUAGCAUAUCAACAUCACCCUCGUACAGACCUACAAUCCCCGUGUAGAAGUAACUGAGCCCUAGAGAGAUUAUGUGACUUCAUGAAGAUAGUAUGGCUGGGAAAUCGAGUUAGAGGGAGGUUGAGGAACUUGCCAAGGUUAUCCAGCUGAUAAAGGAAUGGAAGUUCAGACAGUUUCGGGAACUUACCUGGAGCCACAAGCUAGUCGGCUGCCUGCGAUCCUGAGGUCAUGACUCAUCAAGAGAAGAUAAUCCCAGGGACAGCAGGAUCUGCUUCAUCACAUGGACUUAGGAGCAAGAAACACAUCAGGUAACUAAACAGUAACAAUGACCCACCAUUAAACACACCGAGAGAAGAGCAUGAUGAGGACUCUGUACAAGAAGAAUCCAGGAGCACUUGCUGACAAUGCCCACAGAGAUGCAGACCACUGGCAGCUCUGCCCAUUGAACUGCAGUAAAUAUCUCUGCCCCUCCCAGAGACACGUGGAUGUGGGCACAACAUCAGUUCAGACAAUGGUCAAUGCAUGGACUUAGAGUGAAAAGAAUUUGGACCGUGGAAUCAGAUAGACCGAGGUUUGAAUUGUUAUUCUUCCACUUCUUUGUAACAUGCUUUGGACACAUUUAAAACUCUCUGAGCCUCAGUUUUCUUGUCUUCAAGAUGGAGAUAAUACCCGCACAAGGUUUUUAAGAGAAUUGAAUGUAACAGUGUUUGAAAAGCACAAGCUAGGUACUUUUCUUUUUGGAAAAAGAGCAAGAUGUAGGGCCAGUGAAGGAACUAAUACAAGAAAGCUGUUUCCAGAAAUGAUGGUCUUAGGCAGUCAACCUUGGUCUUAGGCAGUCAACCUCAGAAUAUAUGCUUCUUUUUUUUGUUCAGAUAUGGGGUGGGGAGAGAGGCAGAGAGAAAGAGAGAGA